GACAGAGGGGCCAAGCGUUGUCCGGAUUGACUGGGCGUAAAGCGCACGCAGGCGGUCGCGCGCGUGGGGUGUGAAAACUGGCGGCUUAACUGCCAGAGGCCAUCCCAUACGGCGCAACUCGAGCCAUGCAGAGGUCCACGGAAUUGCCGGUGUAGUGGUGGAAUGCGCAGAUAUCAGGAGGAACACCAGUGGCGAAGGCGGUGCUCUGGGCCGGAACUGACGCUGAGGAGCGAAAGCGUGGGUAGCAAACAGG
rnacentral:rRNA from 1 species